GGCACCGGAAGUCAGGACAGCUGAGGAGGCCGUCUGUCCGCAGACUGUCGCGAUGGAUUCCCCUGUUAUCUUUCAAUCAUUAUAGCUGCUCAGUCCAUGACAUCGUCAUGAUUGCCCCAACACAGAGAGUCUGAUUUCCUCCAUUGUGGUAAUUACCACUGAUCCUGUGCUGACAAGAUGCCUGAUAAGGAAUCGCUGAGGAGGUGAAGAGAAGGGCAAGUUUAGGGAUUUCACUUCAAGGAAGCCAUUCUCUUUGAAGGGCUGGAUAUUUGAUCUGAUUCCCUUUACCUUCAGAUCUUUAAUCCUCAAACAGGGUUUAGCAGCUAAUACUCUGGAUGGAAGGAUCCAUAGAUAGACUCUGCUUCUUCCCACUGGGCUACUCCCAUGGAUUUUACCAAUGUUUUCCUGCAUAUGGAGCAAGGCCUUGGAGACGAGGUGACAGGUG
rnacentral:lncRNA from 1 species